UGGGGAAUAUUGGACAAUGGGCGCAAGCCUGAUCCAGCCAUGCCGCGUGUGUGAAGAAGGUCUUCGGAUUGUAAAGCACUUUAAGUUGGGAGGAAGGGCAGUAAGCGAAUACCUUGCUGUUUUGACGUUACCGACAGAAUAAGCACCGGCUAACUCUGUGCCAGCAGCCGCGGUAAUACAGAGGGUGCAAGCGUUAAUCGGAAUUACUGGGCGUAAAGCGCGCGUAGGUGGUUGGUUAAGUUGGAUGUGAAAGCCCCGGGCUCAACCUGGGAACUGCAUCCAAAAACUGGCCGACUAGAGUACAGUAGAGGGUGGUGGAAUUUCCUGUGUAGCGGUGAAAUGCGUAGAUAUAGGAAGGAACACCAGUGGCGAAGGCGACCACCUGGACUGAUACUGACACUGAGGUGCGAAAAGCGUGGGGAGCAAAACAGGAUUAGAUACCCUGGUAGUCCACGCCGUAAACGAUGUCAACUAGCCGUUGGGAGUCUUGAACUCUUAGUGG
rnacentral:rRNA from 1 species